rnacentral:rRNA from 1 species
AGGGGCAGCACGUCUUCGGAUGGUGGCGACCGGCGCACGGGUGAGUAACGCGUAUGCAAUCUACCUUUUACAGGGGCAUAGCCCGGGGAAACCCGGAUUAAUAUCCUAUAGUACCAAGAUAUAGCAUUAUACUUUGGUUAAAGCUUCGGCGGUAAAAGAUGAGCAUGCGUCCUAUUAGCUAGAUGGUAAGGUAACGGCUUACCAUGGCUAUGAUAGGUAGGGGUCCUGAGAGGGAGACCCCCCACACUGGUACUGAGACACGGACCAGACUCCUACGGGAGGCAGCAGUGAGGAAUAUUGGACAAUGGGCGAGAGCCUGAUCCAGCCAUGCCGCGUGCAGGAAGACGGCCCUAUGGGUUGUAAACUGCUUUUACAGAGGAAGAAACACCCCCUCGUGAGGGGGCUUGACGGUACUCUGCGAAUAAGGAUCGGCUAACUCCGUGCCAGCAGCCGCGGUAAUACGGAGGAUCCAAGCGUUAUCCGGAAUCAUUGGGUUUAAAGGGUCCGUAGGCGGGACAGUAAGUCAGUGGUGAAAGUCUGUGGCUCAACCAUAGAAUUGCCGUUGAAACUGUUGUCCUUGAGUCAUUAUGAAGUGGUUAGAAUAUGUAGUGUAGCGGUGAAAUGCAUAGAUAUUACAUAGAAUACCGAUUGCGAAGGCAGAUCACUAAUAAUGCACUGACGCUGAGGGACGAAAGCGUAGGUAGCGAACAGGAUUAGAUACCCUGGUAGUCUACGC